GAUGAACGCUAGCGGCAGGCCUAACACAUGCAAGUCGAGGGAGGAGCUUUCGGGCUUCGACCGGCGUACGGGUGCGUAACGCGUAUACAAUCUGCCUUUCACAUAGGGAUAGCCCGAAGAAAUUUGGAUUAAUACCUAAUGGUAUAUAGGAGUGGCAUCACAUUUAUAUUAAAGCUGAGGCGGUGAAAGAUGGGUAUGCGUUCUAUUAGCUAGUUGGAGAGGUAACGGCUCCCCAAGGCGACGAUAGAUAGGGGUUCUGAGAGGGAUAUCCCCCACACUGGUACUGAGAUACGGACCAGAAUCCUACGGGAGGCAGCAGUGAGGAAUAUUGGAGAAUGGUCGGAAGACUGAUCCAGCCAUGCCGCGUGCAGGAAGACGGCCUUAUGGGUUGUAAACUGCUUUUGCAGGGGAAGAAUAAGGACUACGAGUAGUUUGAUGACGGUACUCUGCGAAUAAGCAUCGGCUAACUCCGUG
rnacentral:rRNA from 1 species